GGAGAGAUGGCAGAGUGGUCGAAUGCGGCGGUCUCGAAAACCGUUGUUCUUCGAUAGAGGAACCGGGGGUUCGAAUCCCCCUCUCUCCG
rnacentral:tRNA from 1 species